rnacentral:lncRNA from 1 species
UGUCGUAUCUGUUCCAUUAUUGCUCUGUAUCUGCUCCAUUAUUGCUCUUUAUCUUAUCUUUCCAGCUGGCAUUUUGUCUUCUUUAUUCUAGAUGUACCUCUGGAAUAAUAUUAUCUUCUCCAUUGCACCUCGAACAUUGGUGGUCUGGAUAUUUAUGUCCAAUUAUUUUACAGUAUCUUGUUAGCAGUCCGUCUGAAAUAAAUCCCUUUUUUAUUGCUCUCGCGGUAGAUUGUUUUUCUGGGUUAAGUAGCGUCAGUAUCCAUUGUCUUACGUCUUCCAUAUCUGCUUGGCGUAGCUCUUUUGAAUUUGAAUAUAUCAUUUGAUGGUCUCUGGAAUAGUAGCUCCAUAUCGGGUUUCCGUUAGCGUAGUUAUUUGCUAGUUCUUGUAUGAUCGUAGCUAGUCCAAUAAGUCUUUUAUUUGCAUAAAAAUCUGGUAUCUCUAUUCUGGGUAUCUCUGGUUGUUGCGAAAUAUCUUC